GGGGAUUUAGCUCAGUGGUAGAGCUAUUGCCUAGCAAGCGCAAGGCCCUGGGUUCGGUCCCCAGCUCCA
rnacentral:tRNA from 1 species